rnacentral:rRNA from 1 species
CGGAGGGUGCGAGCGUUGUCCGGAAUCACUGGGCGUAAAGGGCGCGUAGGCGGUCUGCUAAGCGUGCGGUGAAACCUGGGGCUCAACCCCAGGUCUGCCGUGCGAACUGGUGGACUAGAGCACUGUAGAGGCAGGUGGAAUUUCGGGUGUAGCGGUGGAAUGCGUAGAGAUCCGAAAGAACACCGGUGGCGAAGGCGGCCUGCUGGGCAGUUGCUGACGCUGAGGCGCGACAGCGUGGGGAGCAAACAGGAUUAGAUACCCUGGUAGUCCACGCCGUAAACGAUGGGCACUAGGUGCUUGGGGGAGCGACCCCCCGAGUGCCGGCGCUAACGCAUUAAGUGCCCCGCCUGGGGAGUACGACCGCAAGGUUG